UACGUAGGGGGCGAGCGUUAUCCGGAUUUACUGGGUGUAAAGGGAGCGUAGACGGUUAAUCAAGUCUGAAGUGAAAGCCCGCGGCUCAACUGCGGAACGGCUUUGGAAACUGAGUAACUGGAGUGCUGGAGGGGCAGGCGGAAUUCCUGGUGUAGCGGUGAAAUGCGUAGAUAUUAGGAGGAACACCAGAGGCGAAGGCGACUCACUGGACUGUAACUGACGCUGAGGCUCGAAAGCGUGGGGAGCAAACAGG
rnacentral:rRNA from 1 species